rnacentral:rRNA from 1 species
GUGUCAGCAGCCGCGGUAAUACGUAGGAUGCGAGCGUUGUCCGGAAUCACUGGGUGUAAAGGGAGCGCAGGCGGUUUAGCAAGUCAUUGGUGAAAUUCUCAGGCUCAACUUGGGGGCUGCCAAUGAUACUGCUGAUCUUGAGUGUGGAAGAGGUGGAUGGAAUUCCUGGUGUAGCGGUGAAAUGCGUAGAUAUCAGGAAGAACACCGAUGGCGAAGGCAGUCCACUGGUCCAUUACUGACGCUCAUGCUCGAAAGCGUGGGGAUCAAACAGGAUUAGAUACCCGAGUAGUCC